GACGAACCGUGCGAACGUUAUUCGGAAUCACUGGGCUUAAAGCGCGUGUAGGCGGAUGGGAACGUCGGUAGUUGAAAGCCCCCGGCUCAACCGGGGAAGUGGUGCCGAAACGACCCGUCUGGAGGGACGUAGGGGGACCUGGAACUUCCGGUGGAGCGGUGAAAUGCGUUGAGAUCGGAAGGAAGACCAGUGGCGAAGGCGGGUCUCUGGACAGUUCCUGACACUGAGGCACGAAGGCCAGGGGAGCAAACGGG
rnacentral:rRNA from 1 species